GUUACGGGAUCGCCAUGUUGACCAGCGUAGUGAGGCAUUUCCUGAUAUCUCACGAAUUCCCGACGUCGCCGCGAGACGUCUUCGUUUGACAGAUUGUCGGUGUGUGUAUAUGCGUACGUUCCACGUGAAUUCUUUGUUUGGGCGCCGGUCAUGCUUUUGACAAGUGUCGGGAUUGCGUGGUGCUAGCGCAUACCCUCCGUUGCAUGGGAGGCCCUCCUGUGAUGGCAGGGAAGGAUGGGAAGCUAGAGCCAAAAGGUGGAGAUAUUAUUCGUCAAGGAUUUAUGAUAAAACGUUCCCAAAACAAGAAACGCUUCACUCCAGUCAAUUACAAGCAACGAUGGUUUGUCCUCACCAAACAUUAUCUUAUUUACUACGAUGGAGAUAGUGAGCGCCGUAAGGAACGUGGACGGAUCGCCGUGGAGAGCGUCCACGUGGUGGAGACGGCCAGUCUCGGAAGUGGUAGCACCGGAAGCGGUGGAGGCGGCGGUGUCGGCGAUGCAGCGGGUGGUGGCGACGCGGGCAGCGGAGGCGGCGGAAUACCAUCCGGACUACCCUUCCAGGUCGGAUAUCGAGAAGCUGGUCAGGAGUAUACGCUCUAUCUGCUCGCCGCUCGCGAGCAGGAUCGUGCUGAAUGGAUACGUGCCAUACGCGCUGUGUGCAGUGAGAAUUCGGGCUUGAGCGGGCGUUACCACGCGGGUUUGUGGAGCGGGAAACGCUGGUCCUGCUGCCGAUUAUCGACACGUUCCGCCGAAGGCUGCGACACUUGCAGCUCCUGGUCCGCUACGAAAUCGGCUGCGAACGUCACGAAUCCGUCCUCAACGACAACGUCGGUCUCGACGACAUCGACAUCAGUGCCCGGCAGUAUUAACAACACCAUCUCGACGACCACCGUCACAUCAGAUCAUCGUGCACAGUUGACGAACGCCGAGGCGAAUAAUAAUCCGAUCAUCCAGACCCAGGCCCGCUCAACGAUCGGAACACCCUCGACUCCGAUAAUGCCAGGCGGUACACCCGGUACGCCAUCCUCUAAAACAAAGGAAAAGAUAAUGCUGCGAGCGAAAGUUGUGGUGGCUCUGUAUCCUUUCCGAGCCAUCGAAGGUGGUGAUUUAUCUCUCGAAAAGGGUGCGGAGUACGAAGUCUUGGACGAUUCCCAGGAGCACUGGUGGAAAGUUAAGGACGAGAAUGGAUCGAUCGGCUAUAUCCCUAGCAACUACGUCAAAGAAAAAGAACUACUGGGACUGCAAAAAUACGAAUGGUACGUAGGCGAUAUGUCAAGACAACGCGCCGAGUCGCUGCUGAAACAGGAAGAUAAGGAGGGUUGUUUCGUCGUUCGUAAUUCCUCGACCAAAGGAUUGUAUACCCUCUCCCUUUACACGAAAGUGCCGCAUCCUCACGUGAAGCAUUACCACAUCAAACAGAACACCCGUGGCGAAUUUUACCUGUCGGAAAAGCACUGCUGCGGCUCGAUUCCCGACCUGGUAAAUUACCACAGACACAAUAGCGGAGGUCUGGCCAGUCGACUGAAAACCAGCCCCUGUGAUCGUCCAGUACCACCGACCGCUGGCCUUAGUCACGACAAAUGGGAGAUCGACCCGGCGGAAUUGCAUUUGCUCGAGGAACUAGGAUCCGGCCAAUUUGGAGUCGUGCGGAGAGGUAAGUGGCGCGGCUCCAUUGACGUUGCCGUGAAGAUGAUGAAAGAGGGAACCAUGUCCGAGGACGAUUUUAUAGAGGAAGCUAAAGUAAUGACAAAACUGCAACAUCAAAACCUAGUCCAGCUAUAUGGCGUUUGCAGUAAAGAUAGACCAAUAUACAUUGUUACGGAAUACAUGCGACAUGGAUCUCUCCUCAACUACCUCCGCCGUCACGAAACCUCAUUAGGUGCAAAUGUUGGUCUUUUAUUAGACAUGUGUAUACAGGUUUGCAAAGGAAUGGCAUAUUUAGAGAGGCAUAACUACAUACACAGAGAUCUUGCUGCACGUAAUUGUCUAGUGGGAUCAGAAAACGUAGUAAAAGUUGCAGAUUUUGGUUUAGCUAGGUACGUACUCGAUGAUCAAUAUACUAGUAGCGGUGGCACAAAGUUUCCCAUUAAAUGGGCGCCGCCAGAAGUGUUGAAUUACACGCGCUUCAGUUCGAAAUCGGAUGUGUGGGCAUAUGGAGUACUCAUGUGGGAAGUAUUCACGUGCGGAAAGAUGCCUUACGGUCGCCUAAAGAAUACCGAGGUUGUUGAACGAGUGCAGCGUGGAAUUAUUCUAGAACGACCUAAAGCAUGUUUUAAGGAAGUGUACGAGGUAAUGCGCAAAUGUUGGGCACACUGUCCGGAAGUGCGACCGUCCUUCCGCGUCUUGAAGGAACAGCUGAUGAGCGUCUCGCAAGGGUUGGUCAACGAUUGACUCAACCUUCUGCGGUGUAUGCGCUUGUCCUCGCCUUCCUGCCGCACAAUCCGAUCGACGGCGAAAUCGUCACCGUCGUCGGAACGAUCGUCCUCCGCCGGUCUGCCGUCGUCAAAUCUGUCGUAUAAUUCAGCAACAUUGCCGUCGUUACGCAAGAUCCGUGCGCCGGCCUCUCCCCCAUCGCCUGCCACGAUCGAUUUCACUCGUCGUUUCUCGUCGAUCACGUGCAAAUCAAAAGGAGAGGGCUCCUCGUCGCCAAAUACACCCGGGCAUCAAGCUAGUCAACAAAAACCAUCCUCGAGCUCGACCAACAACGUGUGCGACGUUUGCAGUUCCUACGGGCAUCCGUGGAUCGAAAUAUGCAAGGCGAUACGAGCCACUAAAGUGACAUAACUUUGAGAAUCAGAGAUACUGUUUUUUGCUUAAUAAACGGAUUAAAUAAUUAAGCUUGUCUACGUUUACGUCACAUAUGUAUAUCACUUAAAAGCAAAAAGGAAAGAGAAGGGGGAAGAGAGAGGAGGAGGAGGAGAGAGAGAGAGAGAAGCCACAAGAAAAAAGUAUUUUAUUCUAACGAAUAAUUGUGUGCAAUUCUUACUUGGAUUAAUAGACAGCUGCAUAUAAAUGACAAUGUAUAAACUGAUAAGUGUAACAGAUGUUCACACUUAUACACGCGGUUGUAGGAAAAGGCAUUGGAACUGCAGAAACUGUGUCGAGCUGUGUCGAGCCUCUUUUAUGCGGGAUUUUCCGUUUGUCUUAUUUCUGAUUCCUGGAGGAAAAAUAGAAAGGCUCAUACAGCAAUCGCAAUCAUAUUGUUAUGGUAAAAAGAAAGAUUAUGUAUAAUAUUAUCGAAUAAUAUUUAAGAGAAUUGUGAACAUCAACGAUUUUUUAAACGUAUUAACGCCGAUAGUUUCUUCAAAUAUAUUAGAUGCACGCAAGUUGAAUUAAAAAUUCACGAAAGUUAAUUACGUAUACGUACGGAACGUACGGGAUACAGAAAUGUGGAUACGCUCUUCUCCGUGUAUCCCGACUGCACCUUGCAAGUGUAUUCACCCAUGUCGGCCCAUUCGAGAUCCGAUAUCUCCAGAUCGCCAUUAGCUAGAACGGUAUGUCUUGCGUGUGUCGCGGGACUUAUCGUCUUGCCCGAGUUAUCUACCCAAAAUAGAUAAGGCGUCGGUUGACCAGCGGCUCUGCACGGAAGAAUCACCGUGUUAUGUUGAAGAGCGAAUCUCCAGGAAGAAUGCAAGGUGAUGGUGGGUUGGCUUUCGCUGCUGCAUGUGGCUGUUUUGGUUGCUGGUCUGACGCAAUCGAUCACGUACGUGGACAAGACCUGACUUACUCCCUCCCAUUCCGUGGAUACGAUGUUGCUCGCUUCUUGAGCCCGAGUGGUCAGCUCCUGAAUCUGCCGGAUCACAAUUAAAGAAAUGAAGAGACUGACCUGUCUUUCCGGCUCGUUUCCUGUUAUCCAGUAAACUUGCGGCGGUGGAUUUCCAGCUACCUCGCAUUGCAAUUCGACGCGACUCCUAAAAUGAAUGAGUUCAGUACAUCAAAAACCGACUUCCAAGGAAUCCGGCGGAUUCUGCAAAAUCCUGGUCCAAGUCAACGUAAAGCCGGUCUAAAACGAAGACGAUUGUAGAUAGGAUAGGAGCACAGAGAGAGAGAGAGAGAGAGAGUAUUCGACUGGAUCUCAUGCAUUUCAAAUAGCUAAGUAAUUCUGUAGUAAAUUAGCAAAAUAGUAAACGGAGCAAAAAAUUU